GAAUCGGAACACAGGUGCUGCAUGGCUGUCGCCAGCUCGUGUCGUGAGAUGUUGGGUUAAGUCCCGCAACGAGCGCAACCCUUGUCCCUAGUUGCUACGCAAGGGCACUCUAGGGAGACUGCCGGUGACAAACCGGAGGAAGGUGGGGAUGACGUCAAGUCCUCAUGGCCCUUAUGGGUAGGGCUUCACACGUCAUACAAUGGCCGGUACAGAGGGUUGCCAACCCGCGAGGGGGAGCCAAUCCCGAGAAAGCCGGUCGUAGUCCGGAUCGCAGUCUGCAACUCGACUGCGUGAAGUCGGAAUCGCUAGUAAUCGCGGAUCAGCAUGCCGCGGUGAAUACGUUCCCGGGUCUUGUACACACCGCCCGUCACACCAUGGGAGCGGGAUGUACCAGAAGCAGCUAGCCGAACCGCAAGGGGGGCGGUUGCCACGGUGCGUUUCGUGACCUGGGGUGAAGUCGUAACAAGGUAGCCGUA
rnacentral:rRNA from 1 species